UACAGAGGUCUCAAGCGUUGUUCGGAUUCAUUGGGCGUAAAGGGUGUGUAGGUGGCGAGCUAAGUCGGGUGUGAAAUUUCGGAGCUUAACUCCGAAACUGCAUUCGAUACUGGCGUGCUUGAGGACUGGAGAGGAGACUGGAAUUCAUGGUGUAGCAGUGAAAUGCGUAGAGAUCAUGAGGAAGACCAGUGGCGAAGGCGGGUCUCUGGACAGUUCCUGACACUGAGACACGAAGGCCAGGGGAGCAAACGGG
rnacentral:rRNA from 1 species